rnacentral:rRNA from 1 species
UGCCAGCCGCCGCGGUAAUACGGAGGGUGCAAGCGUUAAUCGGAAUUACUGGGCGUAAAGCGCGCGUAGGCGGCUACGUAAGUCGGAUGUGAAAGCCCCGGGCUUAACCUGGGAAUUGCAUCCGAAACUGCGUGACUAGAGUAUGUGAGAGGGAAGGGGAAUUCCGGGUGUAGCGGUGAAAUGCGUAGAUAUCCGGAGGAACACCAGUGGCGAAGGCGCCUUCCUGGCACAAUACUGACGCUGAGGUGCGAAAGCGUGGGGAGCAAACAGGAUUAGAUA